ACUUGCUUCUGCCACAUUGCAUCCCGCUUAAUUCCUCUUAGGAAAGUACUUUCCUAUCCCAACUGAUUCAGCUGUUGUUUAGAGGGUAGACAGAGAAGGAAAACAACAGUGCAGCCCUUGAACUCCAGCAGCUUUCUGCAGAUCACAGGAGACCUCCAGAACAUCACUGGCGAGGCAUUGGACUUGCCAAGAACUUGGAGAGGAUUCAGACGGCUGUAUUUGUGGAAGGCUUUACUGUGGUAAUGGAGACACGUACUGUCAAAUUCUGUUGCUUUACUACCAGAGGUGUAAUAAUGUCUGUUUUGUUCUGAGAAAGCUAUCGGUGCCCUGCCUGCCUUGUUGACUUAGAGGGAUUACGUUUCUUACCGAGUGGAGACCACGCGGUUCACUGCGGAACUGCUCGCCACUGCUUAUCUAUGGGCAAGGUACAGCCUGCUGCUUCAAGAGCAUUUCCUUGAACAGCACGGGCUCUCUGGGAAGCCUGGUGCUCAUCACGCGUUGUGAAGUCCCUAUGGCUUUCUCCACAAAAAUAAAAUGCUAAAGGCAGUCUGGAGGUUCGCUGCUGCAUUGCAGCAACAGAAGGGAAGAUGUAAGCUAUCUGGAAGGAAUUUUGCAGAUGAGUUAAUGAUCAGUGGAGUGUGAAGAAUGGUACGGACACAGCCUGCAUCUCUUUGCCAAGGAAUCUAGCAUCCUACUGAGGACUGGAGGCCGUAAGCGACGGGGGAAAAGGAAAGAUGAAUUGUAGUUAAGGAGACAAACAAGCAGUACUGGAGGAAAGUUCCAGCAGCUGGAGCUGAACUUCAUUCACAGCUUUCUCACUCAUCUGACUUAACUGCUUUUGCUAAUUUUGAUAACAAUCUCAAUAAGAACGCAGGAUCACGACUGUUGUUGUUUCAUCACAGUUAGCCAAACUUGGUGAAAGUUUAAUGAAAACAGCAAGGCUGCACUCUUUGAUGUUCCUUCUCCUAUCCAGCCCUGGAAAGUACAUUUUAAAGCUGUAUUUGUAAAAUGUAUUUUAAAUGAAUUAUGGGGGCGGAGACAAGCUGGAUGGAUGUGCUGCCCCUAGUGUUCUCUCAUGGAGGCAAGCUGAGCUGGCAUUCCCUUUGCGUACAGGAGUUUCUUCGCACCCCUUGAUGCCUUCCUGACCACGAAAGUACUGUUGCCAGGCAAUUAUUUAUAUAUUUAUAUAUAUAUUUAUUUAUUUUUACUAGUCAUUGGUGUCUCCCCCACAAAGAUCCAAGGAAAGUUUCCCUAGGAUGAGGCACCGGGAUUUCCCUGGAUCCCAGUACCUCAUUGGAUGGAGGAGCUGUUGUGUAUUUGAUACUUCUUCAGAAGUCAUGUACUUACAAAGUCAGAUGCUGACAUCAAACACUUGGUAACUUAAGAAGAUGGAAUUGCAAGUUACGCCAACAUAUUCUUCUUUUUCCUCCAACAUCUUCCCUUCCUCUAGAUCAAAAGCCUUUAACUCUCUCUUACUUUACUGCUUACAACCAUUCGAAGCAGGUUAUUCUCUUUUUCAGCUUUCAGUGACUCCAGUCAGAGAGUUAAUCUCUUCUACGUAUGUUAAAUACAAAAGUU
ensembl:lncRNA